ensembl:lncRNA
GAGGAGAGAGGGAGAAGAGAAAAUAGUGGAAAGAGAGAGGGCAGAGCAGACUGCAUUUCCAGACUGCGAGAUAGGGGCAUUAGACGGAGAAUCUACUAAGAGAGUUCAAGAGAGAAAGGAGGGGGAUCAUGGAGGAGUCAGCAGUGAGUUGAAUGGUGGCUUAGUGUGGGACUGCCCAAUUCUGGUUCUGGUUUUCAUCCUCUCCUUCUAAUCAGGGACUGAUUCAGACCUGGUACACAAGCCAAAAUGACCCGAGCGGCCCAGCUGGACAUCCAGUGAUCCAGAUCCAGCUGAAAGAGACCGGACCGAUUCACACCUACAUAACGAACGCCACCUGCCAUCCUACUUGAACGCAUACCUGCUUGAGCGGGGUGUCAGCGUUGGAAUUCAGAGAUGAGGCCUGGGUCCAGGAUGUCCCUCGCUGAGACCCAGCACCUCUCCUCC